UACGUAGGGUGCGAGCGUUAAUCGGAAUUACUGGGCGUAAAGCGUGCGCAGGCGGUGGCUCAAGGCAGGCGUGAAAUCCCCGGGCUUAACCUGGGAAUGGCGUUUGGGACUGGGUCGCUAGAGUGUGGCAGAGGGAGGCGGAAUUCCACGUGUAGCAGUGAAAUGCGUAGAGAUGUGGAGGAACACCGAUGGCGAAGGCAGCCUCCUGGGCCAGCACUGACGCUCAUGCACGAAAGCGUGGGGAGCAAACAGG
rnacentral:rRNA from 1 species